AUUGAACGCUGGCGGCAGGCCUAACACAUGCAAGUCGAACGGUAACAGGGAUCAGCUUGCUGAUUCGCUGACGAGUAGCGGACGGGUGUGUAAUGUCUGGGAAACUGCCUGAUGGAGGGGGAUAACUACUGGAAACGGUAGCUAAUACCGCAUAACGUCGCAAGACCAAAGAGGGGGACCUUCGGGCCUCUUGCCAUCGGAUGUGCCCAGAUGGGAUUAGCUAGUAGGUGGGGUAACGGCUCACCUAGGCGACGAUCCCUAGCUGGACUGGGAGGAUGACCAGCCAAACGGGAACUGAGACACGGUCCAGACUCCUACGGGAGGCAGCAGUGGGGAAUAUUGGACAUUGGGCACAAGCUUGAUGCAGCCAUGCCGCGUGUAUGAAGAAGGCCUUCGGGUUUAAAAGUACGUUCAGCGGGGAGGAAGGGAGUAAAGUUAAUACCUUUGCUCAUUGACGUUACCCGCAGAAGAAGCAACGGCUAACUCCGUG
rnacentral:rRNA from 1 species